GACGAACGCUGGCGGCGUGCUUAACACAUGCAAGUCGAACGGAAAGGCCCCUUUGGGGGUCCUCGAGUGGCGAACGGGUGAGUAACACGUGAGUAACCUGCCCUUGACUUCGGGAUAACUUCAUGAAACUGGGGCUAAUACCGGAUAGGAAUCCUUGCUUCAUGGUGGGGGUUGGAAAGCUUCGGCGGUUUUGGAUGGACUCGCGGCUUAUCAGCUUGUUGGUGGGGUAGUGGCUUACCAAGGCUUUGACGGGUAGCCGGCCUGAGAGGGCGACCGGCCACAUUGGGACUGAGAUACGGCCCAGACUCCUACGGGAGGCAGCAGUGGGGAAUAUUGCACAAUGGGCGGAAGCCUGAUGCAGCAACGCCGCGUGCGGGAUGACGGCCUUCGGGUUGUAAACCGCUUUCAGCAGGGGCGAAGCUUGUGGUGACGGUACCUGCAGAAGAAGCACCGGCUAACUACGUG
rnacentral:rRNA from 1 species